UCCAAUGGGCGGCCCCGAGUGGGGACCCUUUCGCGAGGGUGCCGGUGACUCCUACCGGUCUGCCAACCCUGCUCGGUGGCCGCCCACCCUU
rnacentral:antisense_RNA from 1 species